GACGAACGCUGGCGGCGUGCUUAACACAUGCGAGUCGAACGGAAAGGCCCUGCUUUUGUGGGGUGCUCGAGUGGCGAACGGGUGAGUAACACGUGAGUAACCUGCCCUUGACUUUGGGAUAACUUCAGGAAACUGGGGCUAAUACCGGAUAGGAGCUCCUGCUGCUUGGUGGGGGUUGGAAAGUUUAGGCGGUUGGGGAUGGACUCGCGGCUUAUCAGCUUGUUGGUGGGGUAGUGGCUUACCAAGGCUUUGACGGGUAGCCGGCCUGAGAGGGUGACCGGCCACAUGGGGACUGAGAUACGGCCAAGACUCGUACGGGAGGCAGCGGUGGGGAAUAUUGCGCAAUGGGCGGAAGCGUGAUGCAGCAACGCCGCGUGCGGGAUGACGGCCUGCGGGUGGUAAACCGCUUUCGCCUGUGACGAAGCGUGAGUGACGGUAAUGGGUAAAGAAGCACCGGCUAACUACGUG
rnacentral:rRNA from 1 species